rnacentral:rRNA from 1 species
AUUGAACGCUGGCGGCAGGCCUAACACAUGCAAGUCGAGCGAGCGGCGGACGGGUGAGUAAUGUAUGGGGACUGCCCGAUAGAGGGGGAUAACUACGGGAAACGGUAGCUAAUACCGCAUACGAUCGAAUAACCCAUAUGGGAUUAGCUGGUAGGUGAGGUAAUGGCUAACCUAGGCGACGAUCCCGAGCUGGUCUGAGAGGAUGAUCAGCCCCACGGGGACUGAGACACGGCCCAGACUCCUACGGAGGCAGCAGUGGGUAAUAUUGCACAAGGGGCGCAAGCCUGAUGCAGCCAUGCCGCGUGUAUGAAGAAGGCCCUAGGGUUGGAAAGUACUUUCAUUCGGGAGGCGUUACCGACAGAAGAAGCACCGGCUAACGCCGUGCCAGCAGCCGCGGUAAUUC